AUCAUUUAAGACGGGAGCGGCAAUUUAAUGCAGAAGAAUAAUCGCAGCUUAUCAAUACUGGACUUACAAAUCAUUCUAUCUGUGCAGGGACAUUUUAUAAUUGUAGGGUCCCAUUUAAUCCCGUCAUAUGCCUAACCGGUUUACUUCAUGCUUUGCAUAUUUGGGGUGUGUUAAGCUCUAAUGUGUAGCCCAGGCAGCUCAGUGUGUGAACGUGAGUGAGUGAGUGUGCACGCACGGCGUACCGGUGACGGGUUGAGACGGCGACCGGGGCAGGCAGAGAGCGGAAAGUGCUACUUCUAAUCGUGCAGUCAGAUAAUAAAGCCCCUCUCUUCGGCA